ensembl:snRNA U6 U6 spliceosomal RNA
GUGCUUGCUCCGGCAGCACAUAUACUAAAAUUGGGACGAUACAGAGAAGAUUAGCAUGGCCCCUAUGCAGGGAUGACACGCAAAUCGUGGAGCAUUCCAUAUUUUU